GUUCUGUAAGUUUGGUUGUAGUGGAGAUACAAGGUGGAGUAUAACGCCAGCUGUUCUGCUACUCAGGUGGGUAGCAUUAGAGAUUGGAGAAAAUCACACUCAAUAAAAAACGUCGGGCGGUUUUGACGUCACCGGAUCGUGCUGAUGAAGACCCGAUGUUUGCACCUUUGUUUCUGCCCCGAUGAAGACCCGGUGAGGUCUUAACCGGUCGGCGUCUUUUUAUUGAGAUGCCCUGUUACAGGCCACAGAAUGCAUGGACAAGAAUAUGGGACUUGCACAGCAUAAAUAGUCUCGGGCCUCCUGCGAGAAGGACCGACAGCAUUCCGGGCCCCUGUCACUCCUACAUAUGGACAUCAAAUGCAAGUCGAUGAGAUCCUGAUCCUCCAAACAAGGCAUCCACGGCUUUGGGGUUCUUCUUUGAAGCUGCAAAGAAACCUGACUUUCCAUCCGGCCAGACUGCUAGAGCCAUGGCUAUGGAAAAUGGGAUGACUCCCUCAUGAGGACAUUGAUGGGGACCAUUUUCCCAGAUGUGGAUCAUGCUGGAGUACAGUGAAGAACCAAGGGAGCAGAACAAGACAGAUUUAUAGUUGUAGCUUUACUGAAGAAAACGAAACAAAAAAAAACAUAAGACAGGCCCUGUUUUUAAGUGCUGCUGAAGUUUUGGGCUAAAAUGGGAAUUCCCUACUGGUGGGGUCAUCAAGGCAGUGUACUUCACAUCUCCAUGCAGUUGCACUGUGACUUCUCCAGUCAUAUGACUGAACAUACCCUUUGGGUUUAGGGGAUGGGGGUCUGCUAAGCUGUGGUGGUCCAGCUUUGGGAAAGUCCUGGGCUUCUUUUAGAGCAGGUAGAGGCUUUAGCUCAGUUGGGCUGGAUGGGUCAGUCUUCUUUGGAGGAGGAGGUCUCCUUGGUGCCAUGGUGAGGGGUCUCUGAGGGGGCUCCUUGUGGGGAGGCACUGGUGGUUUUGAUGGGGAAGAUGAACUCUCCUGGCUAUGACUGUAAAUGUGCUUAAUCAAUGGUACUUGCCCUGCCCUGUUUAGGGCAUUGUUUUACAUUUUAUCAAUGUGUUAGAUGUGGUGUGAAUAAACACUCUUCAUGU